rnacentral:rRNA from 1 species
UGUGUAGGUGGCGCGCUAAGUCGGGUGUGAAAUUUCGGAGCUUAACUCCGAAACUGCAUUCGAUACUGGCGUGCUUGAGGACUGGAGAGGAGACUGGAAUUCAUGGUGUAGCAGUGAAAUGCGUAGAGAUCAUGAGGAAGACCAGUGGCGAAGGCGGGUCUCUGGACAGUUCCUGACACUGAGACACGAAGGCCGAGGGGAGCAAACG